GCAAUCUGGGCUAGUGGAAGGGUUCCCUGCCCAUGGCAGGGGGUGGAACAAGACGAUCUUUAAGGUCCCUUCCCACCCAAAACAUUUUGUGAUUUUAUGGCUUAAUGAGCUGUCAUCUAAGAUUGUCACUGCAGCUGGAUCCUCGUGCAGACUGGAAGAACAAUUCCCUUUUCAUUUUUAUUGUUUUAGGAACCAGCCUGGGGUUUGGGAGAGCGAAGUCCUGGUCCUGCCACCGCCACAGGAUUGCUGGUGUCAUCUCAAGUGAGUCACUUCACCAGGGAACCAAAGGGACAGCACAUCCCUAUGGCAAGAGCUUUGCUGUGUCUCCAGCAUUUUUUGGGGGGCAUGCACAGAGAUUCUCUGAGCAGGAUUGGAACAAGCUGGCCAGGGAAGCAGUGGAAUUGCCCUGGAAGUGUUCAAAAGCAUUCCAGGUGACUGUGCCUGCCCUGACUGCAGGGCUGGGCUG